rnacentral:rRNA from 1 species
UACAGAGGGUGCAAGCGUUAAUCGGAAUUACUGGGCGUAAAGAGUGCGCAGGCGGUUAUAUAAGUCGGGUGUGAAAGCCCCGGGCUCAACCUGGGAAUUGCAUUCGAGACGGUGUAGCUAGGGUACGGAAGAGGGAAGCGGAAUUUCAGGUGUAGCGGUGAAAUGCGUAGAUAUCUGAAGGAACACCAGUGGCGAAAGCGGCUUCCUGGGCCAGUACCGACGUUCAGGCACGAAAGCGUGGGGAGCAAACAGG